rnacentral:rRNA from 1 species
AUGAUUCUUCAGACAUCAUCAUCUGGAACGAAAAAUAAUACCGGUACAAGUAAUAACAAGAACAAUAAUGGAAGGUCGAAUAGGAGACGAGAGGAGGGAUUCGUCUCGACGAAAGGAACAGGAGAAGCGAGAGCAUUAUUUUUAGCUUGUGAUGAUCGGAGGAGAGGAGUUGGCGAUUUUGGCAUGCACCGGCCGGGCAGAAAGGCGUCUCGGCAUGUUGUGCCGCCAAAGCGCUCGCCACCUAAGGAAGUGAUGGCAUCGUCACGUCUUGUCAUCUGCGAAUGUGAACCGUCAGUUCGUCCCGGCAAUCUGAGCCUGGCAGGGAAUAUUUGA